AAAUAAAUGGGCUAAAUAGUCUCAAAAUCCCUCAAUCUGGCAACAAUGGCUUUUGCGUACCUUACGUGAAUUACUACGCCAUUACGCCUCUUGCAUGCGGGAAUUUCAAAACUGCUAAUCAUUACGUCUUGCUAAAUGACGGUAGAUACAUGAGUUAAGAAAAUAUGCAAUCGGUGCUCAAAAGCGCAGCAAUAAACACCCGAAGAUUACAACCUUAUUUAGACUAGCUAGGGAGGUAGCUAUCAUCAGCAUACGAAACACUACCGCAACAGCAGGUAGCUAUAGCAGCAGCACGUCUUUACCAGCAACCUGCCUUUCCAACGCAACAUCCCCUGGCGGCUGGGAAACCCCCGCACACGUUGAGAGCCCCGGAGUUUUGACUGCCAGGUUUUGUAGGUGUUAUUGGCAGUGAACAUGGCCAGCUGCACCUUUAGGGACUGGAACUGUAGCUCUGGACACAGGUCAACCACGUCAUCAACUUGACCAGAGAGUAGGACUUUCUCCAGCUUGACCAGGUAUAUUCCACUGGAGUGUCAAGACGGAGAAGAGGUUUGACUGGGCUGAGCGACCUGUGAUGACAGCAUAAAAAGCAUACUUUUCUUUUCUCCUUUAUGUUGGAUUUUGUGAGACAAAAAGGCACACAGCUAAAUGCUGCACGACAGUCUGUGUCUGUCUCUAAUAAAUAUUUUAAGCAUAAAUUCUAAUGUUCUACACCGUAUAUACGACAGUCAGGUGUUCAAUUAUAUUCUGUUCUCAUUCAUUGGGACCAAAUCUUGUGUGCAAACAAAAUAAUUGACGUAACAUUUGUGUUAUUGUAAGGUUUUUAUUUUUCA